UACACAAAGUAUAUUUUCCAAACGUUUCGCCUUUUACGGCUGCUUCGUAAAAGGCGAAACGUUUGGAAAAUAUACUUUGUGUA